ACGAACGCUGGCGGCGUGCUUCACACAUGCCAGUCGAACGGUGAAGCGCCUUCCUUUUUGGUGGGUGUGGAUGAGUGGCGAACGGGUGAGUAACACGUGAGUAACCUGCCCCCUUCUUCUGGAUAACCGCAUGAAAGUGUGGCUAAUACGGGAUAUUCUGGGUCUGUCGCAUGAUGGGUCUGGGAAAGACAUUGUUUCGGUGGGGGAUGGGCUCGCGGCCUAUCAGCUUGUUGGUGGGGUGAUGGCCUACCAAGGCGGUGACGGGUAGCCGGCCUGAGAGGGUGGACGGUCACACUGGGACUGAGACACGGCCCAGACUCCUACGGGAGGCAGCAGUGGGGAAUAUGGCACAAUGGGCGCAAGCCUGAUGCAGCGACGCCGCGUGAGGGAUGGAGGCCUUCGGGUUGUGAACCUCUUUCGCCAGUGAAGCAGGCCUGCCUCGUUUGUGGGUGGGUUGACGGUAGCUGGAUAAGAAGCGCCGGCUAACUACGUG
rnacentral:rRNA from 1 species